rnacentral:misc_RNA from 1 species
AAACCGAUACGUCGCGUCAACUGCUAUCCGCAUUUUAUUGAAAUUCAUUUUUGAAUUUAUUUUUUGUCGCAUAUUGGCUUUAUUUAUUCUCAUAUUCUUCCUAAUAAUAAAUUCACAUUUUAUGGACGAUACAUACAUAAAUAACCACUACUUUUUAAUAUAUCGUAUGUUGAUGUUUUUUGUGAAUAUGUAUGUAACAUAUAUAUUUGGAAAGUCAAAUUCUGUUCCAAUGGAAACUUUUGUCGCGUGUAAUUUUGACAGUAUAUAAAUUUCAUAAUACUUUGUUCAUAAAGGCGGAGCGAUAUUCUCGAAGUUCUAAUUUGAAAUCUUCACAUCUGACGUUGAAGACUCGGGAUUAUCGGAUCACAUAGCGGUAUUAUUUGAGAGAACGCGAGUCGACCAAUGAAUGUUUGGACACUUCGUCAGAAGAAAAAAGAAUUCUCCGCUGACCAAGAUUUCCGAGGAAGUCAUUUGAGACUUAAUUAAUUACACAAGAUAUAAAUAGACCGAGAAAAAUUGUGUAUAAUUAAUCGAUUGAAUAAUUCGAUUGAUUUGAAAGCCGAUGAAAAAUUUCUGCUUUGAUCGCAGUGAUAAAUAACGAUUGUAAAAUUCGAA